rnacentral:rRNA from 1 species
GUGGGGAAUAUUGGACAAUGGGGGAAACCCUGAUCCAGCCAUGCCGCGUGAAUGAUGAAGGCCUUCGGGUUGUAAAGUUCUUUUGGCGGGGACGAUGAUGACGGUACCCGCAGAAUAAGCUCCGGCUAACUUCGUGCCAGCAGCCGCGGUAAUACGAAGGGAGCUAGCGUUGUUCGGAAUUACUGGGCGUAAAGGGCGCGUAGGCGGUCAAGCAAGUCAGAUGUGAAAGCCCUGGGCUCAACCCGGGGACUGCGUUUGAUACUGUUUGGCUUGAAGUCGGUAGGGGUGAGUGGAAUUCCCAGUGUAGAGGUGAAAGUCGGAGAGAUUGGGAAGAACACCAGUGGCGAAGGCGGCUCACUGGACCGACAUUGACGCUGAGGCGCGAAAGCGUGGGGAGCAAACAGGAUUAGAAACCCCAGUAGUCC